ACGCACCUUGCGCUCCCGGGAUAUGCCUGGGAGCAUGCCUGUCGGGGAGGAGGAGG
rnacentral:rRNA from 1 species